AGUGAACGCUGGCGGUAGGCCUAACACAUGCAAGUCGAACGGCAGCACAGUAAGAGCUUGCUCUUACGGGUGGCGAGUGGCGGACGGGUGAGGAAUACAUCGGAAUCUACUUUUUCGUGGGGGAUAACGUAGGGAAACUUACGCUAAUACCGCAUACGACCUACGGGUGAAAGCAGGGGAUCUUCGGACCUUGCGCGACUGAAUGAGCCGAUGUCGGAUUAGCUAGUUGGCGGGGUAAAGGCCCACCAAGGCGAGGAUCCGUAGCUGGUCUGAGAGGAUGAUCGGCCACACUGGAACUGAGACACGGUCCAGACUCCUACGGGAGGCAGCAGUGGGGAAUAUUGGACAAUGGGCGCAAGCCUGAUCCAGCCAUCCCGCGUGUGUGAAGAAGGCCUUCGGGUUGUAAAGCCCUUUUGUUGGGAAAGAACAGCAGCAGGUUAAUACGCCGCUGUUCUGACGGUACCCAAUAAAUAAGCACCGGCUAACUACGUG
rnacentral:rRNA from 1 species